rfam:Pteropus alecto contig80296, whole genome shotgun sequence.
GUCUACAGCUAUGCCACCCUGAACAAGCCCGAUCCUAUCUGAUCUUAGAAGCUAAGCAGGGUUGGGCCUGGUUAGUACUUAGAAGGGAGGCCACCUAGGAAGACCAGGUGCUGUAGGCG